ensembl:snRNA U6 U6 spliceosomal RNA
GUGCCCACUUUGGCAGCACAUAUACUAAAACUGGAACGACACAGAUAAGGUUAGCAUGGCCCCUGUGCAAGGAUGACACGCAAAUUCGUGAAGCGUUCUAUAUUUUU